rnacentral:lncRNA from 1 species
AGUUUCUCAGCACUGAGCCUCCAGCCCAGCAGUUUCGCUCCUGGAAGUUUGUCUUACAUGGAUGAAAUGAGCUGUGUACAAGGUUACCCAUGGCAAUGUUGUUUUGAUAGAAGAAAGAAAAGACUGAAAACGACCAAAAUAUCUUUCCUCAGGGCACAGGAUAUACAAGCGAGUGUACACCGCUAUAAUGGGAUUGUAGGGAAACUGAUAUGCAGAGAAUAUCAAGAAGCUGAAGCUUCCUAGACCCCAACUUCUCUGCUUCCUGGCACCAGAAUCCACCAUCCACUACGAAAGCAGCCAACCAAUAGCAC